GAAGUACUCCCUUUGUCCCAGAAUUCUUGUCUUAAAUUUGUCUAAAUACGGAUGUAUCAAGUCACGUUUUAGUAUUAGGUACAUCCGUACCUAGGCAAAUCUAAGACAAGAAUUUUGAGACGGAGGGAGUAUUAU
rnacentral:pre_miRNA from 1 species